AUAGAACGCUGGCGGCAUGCCUUACACAUGCAAGUCGAACGGUAACAGGUCUUCGGAUGCUGACGAGUGGCGAACGGGUGAGUAAUACAUCGGAACGUGCCUAGUAGUGGGGGAUAACUACUCGAAAGAGUGGCUAAUACCGCAUGAGAUCUACGGAUGAAAGCAGGGGAUCGCAAGACCUUGUGCUACUAGAGCGGCCGAUGGCAGAUUAGGUAGUUGGUGGGAUAAAAGCUUACCAAGCCGACGAUCUGUAGCUGGUCUGAGAGGACGAUCAGCCACACUGGGAAUGAGACACGGCCCAGGCUCCUACGGGAGGCAUCAGUGGGGAAUUUUGGACAAUGGGCGCAAGCCUGAUUCAGCAAUGCCGCGUGCAGGAUGAAGGCCCUGGGGUUGUAAACUGCUUUUGUACGGAACGAAAAGCCCUGGGUUCAUACCCUGGGCUCAUGACGGUACCGUAAGAAUAAGCACCGGCUAACUACGUGCCAGCCGCCGCCGUAA
rnacentral:rRNA from 1 species